rnacentral:rRNA from 1 species
UACGGAGGGUGCGAGCGUUAUUCGGAAUUACUGGGCGUAAAGCGCGUGUAGGCGGCAGGGCAAGUCUGGUGUGAAAGCCCGGGGCUCAACCCCGGAAGUGCAUUGGAAACUGCUCUGCUUGAGUACCGGAGAGGAAGGGGGAAUUCCCGGUGUAGCGGUGAAAUGCGUAGAUAUCGGGAGGAAUACCAGUGGCGAAGGCGCCCCUCUGGACGGGUACUGACGCUGAGGCGCGAAAGCGUGGGGAGCAAACAGG